rnacentral:rRNA from 1 species
CCUACGGGUGGCAGCAGUGAGGAAUAUUGGUCAAUGGGCGCGAGCCUGAACCAGCCAAGUAGCGUGAAGGAUGACUGUCCUACGGGUUGUAAACUUCUUUUAUAAAGGAAUAAAGUGAGGCACGUGUGCCGUUUUGUAUGUACUUUAUGAAUAAGGAUCGGCUAACUCCGUGCCAGCAGCCGCGGUAAUACGGAGGAUCCGAGCGUUAUCCGGAUUUAUUGGGUUUAAAGGGAGCGUAGGUGGGUUGUUAAGUCAGUUGUGGAAGUUUGCGGCUCAACCGGAAAAUUGCAAUUGAUACUGUUAGACUAGAGUGCAGUUGCGGUAGGCGGAAUUCGUGGUGUAGCGGUGAAAUGCAUAGAUAUGACACAGAACACCGAUUGCGCAGGCAUCUCACGAAUCCGCGAUUGACGCUGAUGCACGAAAGCGUGGGUAUCAAACAGGAUUAGAUACCCUUGUAGUC